GCUGGUUAAGGCUCCGCCCACUGACUGACCUGAGAGCACAAGAUGGUGGAUUGGCGCCGAUCGGAGUGAGGAAAGUGAAAAAUUUGCCAUUGUGUGGAUAAGCGGCUUAGAAGAUGGAUGGAUGGAAUUCAGUAGAGGGCGCUGGGAGUGAAUUUGCACAUUCUUACCGACGGCCUUGCCGGUCUGGACCACGCUCCUGCUGGUGGUCAUCAUGGCGUUGCCGAUCUUUUUGCCUCGCUCGCUGUUGUGCACCGAGCUGCAGGAAGGAAGUGGGCGGGACUCACUGUGACAGGCGCAGUUUGACGUCGGCGACGCUGUACUGGCCCUGGCAAGGAUGUCUGCGGCACACACGGAGAAGAAGAACACGUGCUAAGGUUAGCCUUAGCACAUUCAUUCAUUAUUUCAACCUUAUUCCCGUAAUCGACGGCACUCCCGAAAGACUUAGAAUUGCCUACAGGUGCCACGAGGUGGCAGCAAAGUACUAUUUUUCUAUUAGAUGAAACUCCUCACUUCAACAUCGGGGAGGUUGGAAUUUAAGGCCACGCGGGCCAGCCCCGGUAGGUCGGCGACAACGGCGG